rnacentral:rRNA from 1 species
GAUCAUGGCUCAGGAUGAACGCUAGCUACAGGCUUAACACAUGCAAGUCGAGGGGCAGCAUGGUCUUAGCUUGCUAAGGCCGAUGGCGACCGGCGCACGGGUGAGUAACACGUAUCCAACCUGCCGUCUACGUCUUGGACAGCCUUACUGAAAGGAAGAUUAAUACAAGAUGGCAUCAUGAGUUCACUAUGUUCACAUGAUUAAAGGGUAUUCCGGGUAGACCGAUUGGGGG